UACGGAGGAUCCGAGCGUUAUCCGGAUUUAUUGGGUUUAAAGGGUGCGUAGGCGGCCUAUUAAGUCAGGGGUGAAAGACGGUAGCUUAACUAUCGCAGUGCCUUUGAUACUGAUAGGCUUGAAUGUACUUGAGGUAGGCGGAAUGUGACAAGUAGCGGUGAAAUGCAUAGAUAUGCCACAGAACACCAAUUGCGAAGGCAGCUUACUAAAGUAUGAUUGACGCUGAGGCACGAAAGCGUGGGGAUCAAACAGG
rnacentral:rRNA from 1 species